AGCGCCACGUAUUAUCCCUACAGAAUUCAGACCAUAUUUUAAACGUACCGUCCGUAAGAGAUGUUACUCCUUCUCUACACUCCAUAGUUUGCAGAUUGAGGAAGUCGUUUGCGCACAUAAAUUACCACAAGUAACUGUUCAAUAAUUGGGAAUGGUUAUCGAAACGAUGUCGAAAGCUAGACUUAGCCACUCCAUAUUUGCUCAACCGUAUGUACGUAACAAAGUCCGAAUGAAGUUUUGGCUGUGGUUGACAUUUUGAUGGUAGUAAUUUCUAUUCGAUGUAUGUUCGCCACUUAUUGGACACAGUGUCCCAGGACCAAUGCUGCCUAUUAGUAAAGCAGUUUCUUUGAAAAUUCCAUUUGUACCUACUAUUGUUUCAGUAUCCCACCAACACUGUCUUUACGCAUGACGAAUAGUGAUUCAUCCAUUUCUACCAUGCUCUGGUAACUUUAAUGAGCGUGAAAGUUCACUACAUAUUCUUAUUUCCUAAACUCAUCAGAGGGCGCCACACAGCUCCGCGAUUGCGCAUGGUAUACAAUUAUUUAUCGAUCUAUCAUCUGAGAGGUACAGCAACAAGUUUAUUAUUUCGUUAUUACUAUUGUGGUUAUUAUUGGUGUUUAGUAAAUUGGAUAGUUUGAUUUGUGCGUUUAUAGUUUUGUGUUAUUCUCUCAUUAUUCGGAUUCCGCCAUUUUUUUGUGAUUUUAAGCUUAUUGAUUAAGAACUUUUUCAACAUGGUUUUUAACUGUUGCGUUAAUGGCUGUAACAAUUAUAACAAGGAUGCCCAAAUGCAUAUUUUUCCAAAAGAUCAAAUACUGUAUGAUAUUUGGAUUAAUGCAAUUGGCCGAGAAGACUUAAAGGUGAAGCCUAUGGAAAGAGUCCGAAAGUCGUACCGUAUUUGUACUAUUCACUUUAGUGCAGAAGCCCGCUAUGUUGGAACCAGAAAUAAAUCGACCUUAAAACAGGAUGCAAUUCCUUCUCUAUUUCUUAAUGCUUCUAACAGGAAAGAAGUUUCUUCUGCCAAAAUGGUUAAACUACGCUCAAAGCAUAGUUUAUCAGAGCAAAUAGGUUCACCUGAAGUAGAAACAGUUAACAUCUCCAUACCAUUAACUUCAAAAUUGAUUUGUGAAGAAGUUUUACCAUAUAUGCUGCACAAAAAUUUGAAAAGCAAUUAAAAUAUUCAAAAAAAAUGAAAAAUCUCAAAUGUUUGAAUAUAAUUUAAGUACCUAUCUAGUUAUAUACUUAGUGUUAAUAGAAAUAUAUUGUAGGGAAAGUAUUCUAUUUUUGCUUUUCGUAAUCCAAAUAACCUGAACAUUGAUUUGAACUGAAAAUUUUAAACAUUCCGCCAAAUCUUUAGUCGUUGCUGUUUCCUAAACCCGCAAGGUGGCGCUAGUCGCAAUGUUCAAAUAUAAUGUGAACAGUUUCCUAUCUAUCCCACUAUCCUUUAUCUAUGAAGGGGAUAAUAUAGCUGCACAUACUUCUGUUGUGUACAGUAAAUUUUUGUUUACAAAAAAAAUUCAUUUUGUGUACAUAACGAAUUUUAAUCUUUGUGUGAUUGUUUCCAUGCAAAAGAACGUUCACUCACUCUCAACAUAAACUUAUUGUACCAUUAAAAUAGAACAAACUCUCAGAUAUGGACGAUCUGGUUGUAACGUUUUCUUGGAGUUUUCUUGCUUUUAUUUUUUUUUAUUUUUAACUAAAAUGUUUCAUUUUUAGCUCCUACGUAAUGUGUAGUAAAAUAUUCAAUUUUUGAUGAAAUCGUCUUCCUCUUUUUCAUCUGUUCAUAUAGCAAAACUUUUAACAGAAAAUAAUUAGAUUUCAAAUUGUAAUUAUAAUUUUAGUGUUUAAUAGAGAUACAUUUUAGUUCUUAGUAUAAGAGAGACAUACUGACUAGCGUUUAACUUGUCCACCCUAUCAAUUAUGAAAUGGUUAAAAGGUGGUUUAAUCAUAAUGAUGCACCCGGUGUUUUGUGAUAGAAAAAUCAUCUUAAUUGGUUCUUGUACCUGUGUUACAUAACUACAAAAGUAGCAAUUUUGUAUUGAAAAUUUAGACAUAAUAAAUUACUUUGAAGAUCACCCUUUUUUUUCAGUAACAAAAUAAUAAAUAAAAUACCUAUGACAUGAACUUUACCAACCAAUGCAAUUCUUAACACCAACUGCUUUUCAUCACAUAAUUAUUUUCCAUAUGAAACAUUGUCGAAAAGCUUACAUUAUCAAAAGCUGUUAAGUUGAGAAAUGACUAUAACAAUAGUCAAAAAAAUUAAGGAAACAAAUAUACAGACUCAACACUCAUAAAUAAAAUUUUUUUCCUAUUAGAGACUGUGUUAUGUUAGCAAGUUCAUAAAUACAUUAUAUUACAUUAAAAACAUAAACAUCCUCCACAUCGAAGUUUGGCAUUAUGCCAGCAUUCUGUUAAAUACUCAUCAAACAUUUUAUUUUUAAUUUUAGUUUUGUCUCUUAGACUUCAUAAUAGUUUUAAUAGGAAAAAAAUGUCUCUGUGUUAAGCACGAACGCAAAGCAUAUGCUCGCAGCUAUUUAAUAUACGGUAUGGUGCAAAUGUAAGAAAUAAAUUCAAUAUUUCGUAAACCGGCCACUUUAAAGAAAAAUCCUGGAACCCAUCGAUUUUUAUUUUUAAGUAGGCUAUUCGUAAUGAUACCUUUUUAUUUUUGACGUCAUCUAUGUGAGCGUGAAGACGUCAUCGCUAAAAUUUUUAAAUGGGAAUGUGGGUGUUGUAAUACAGGUUUCUAUUCAGUAAUUGCAUGUAUUCUUCUCUAACUGUCUCUAUAACUUCCGGAGUUAUUUUUGCAACCUUAAAACGAAUCCUUUUUUUGAGUUCAAUGAUGUUUUGUGGCCUAUUUCGGUACACUUUUCUUUUCAAGUAUACCCAUAAAAAUAAAUCAAGAUGAGUUGAAUCAGGUGACGUAGGCCACCAUUCUAUUGUUUCUCUUUCCUAUCCACUAAUUUGGAAAGACGUUCUGCGCACUAAGAUAGCAUAAUGUGGAGGCGCACCAUCUUAUUGCAGCCAUAAAUCAUUUCUGUUUGGAAACAACAGGUUCAAUUAGGGGAACAAGAAGUUUUACAGAAAUUCCAAAUUUCGAGGACCUGUCAAGGUCCUUCGAAAAAGGAUGGUCCAAUAAUCCUAUUAUCUAUUAUUCUCGUUCAAACAUUAACUUUUUCUUUGGGUAUUGAAUAGUACCUUUUUCUAAAACAUCGGAUCUCUGUUAUUUGGUUCCAAUGUUCCAUAAAUUCUGGUACUAAACUUUUUAGGGAUGCCACUUUCCCUUCUUUAGCUUUUUAAGAACUGUUGAAUGGUCCAUGUCAUUAACUGAUAUGGUAUGGGGAUUAUCUUGAAAGGUUAAUAGAACACCUAUUAUUUGUCUUCAUAUAUUGGUUUUCUACUAACUUUAUGGAGGUCUAUUUCUUCUCAAUUUUGCUUUCAGUGGAUUGUGAAAUCGGUUUUCGGUUGCGGUAUUUAUUAGAAAGCGCACAUACUUCUUUCUGCGUACGUGUUUUAUCUCUUCAACAAAUUUCUUUUCUUUGAGUUUCAAUCAGCUUUAUGUUAUGAUACAGAAACUUUUUGAAUACGACCACUACAAUAUUAGUAUUAAUCACUUGACGGAAAUUUAAUUCAGUUGGAAUGUCCAAGUAUCAAUGUUAUGUUGGUAAGUAAAAAUGGCAAGUAGUGGGUAGAUAAGAUAUUUCAUUAAGAGUGGCGACCAUCACAAUAUUUAUGUCAAUAAAUACAUCAUGCCAAUACUUAGUACAUUUUAUUAAGAAACCUUUUCAAUAAUAUGUUGAUGUAGCUGAAUAGGUAUUUAAAAGAUAUUUAAAAUAUUGUGUUACAACACCCACAUUUUGAUUAAAAAAUUUUAGAAGCUCAUCUAGAUAACGUCAAAAAUAAAAAGGGAUCCUUACGAAUAGCAUGUUUUCAGGUGUUUUCUUAAAGUCGUCGAUGAACGAAUUUAUUCCCUUCAUUUCCACCAUACUGUAUGUACAUCUUCUCAUAAAGAGCAAAAGAAGUAACUGCAUUAUUUAGAUUGUAAAAUAUUUACAAGACACAGAACGAUAUUUUUAAGUAAUCCGAGAUUUAUGUCAUAAAUUCAAUCAGUACUUUGUUUUUUUUAACAGAAAAUUCUCAAUCUUAGACAGAAAGAAUUAAUUAAUUGCUAAUUUUUUAAGAUUCAGUAUUGAAAUUUUUAUUAAUUUUAUAAGAGUAUAGGGAGUUACAUAUUAAGGAACAUCUGACGGCUUAUAAUGAAAAUGAUGACUCCAUGGAAAUACGAAAGAUAAUAAAAACCCAUUAAUUGUUUAGUAUUCAUUCUUUCUUUUAACAUUGCUUGAUAAAAUAGUAUAUUAUAUUAUAAGGAUUAAAAGUGCAUAUUUUUUUACGAGCAAUAUUUGCAGUUGCGAGGCGGAGCGCAGCGCAGCCAAGUGAAUGCAAAAUUGCGGUUCAUGACCGUCCAAUGUCACUAUGAAUUAUAAUAACGGUAUUCAUAGUAUUCAUAAUUUAAAAGAAACCUGUGGAGUCUUAAUAGGAGAAAAUAAUCGAGUUUGAAAUAAAAUUUAUCAUGAUCAAUGUAGGAGCAGCUUGUGAUCCGCGUGUGACAUUAUCACAGUUUCAAAAUCUGCAUUAAACAAGCUUUGAAUCACUUUUUGUAUUUAUACUUCAGCAAAAAAAUAUUCUACACGAUGGAGACAUGAAAUUCAAAAUGGUUAAGGCCAAUCUGCACAUUUUCUGAAAAGUGUGCUGGUAGUUACAAAAACAUUUUGCCGUAAUUUAAGGUUAGAUUUUCUACAAGGCAGUAAUAUUAGGAAAUGAAAAAAUAAGGCACAAUUCAAUUGUUGAUCAUGAGCACCUUGAAAAUUAUUUAAUGCCAUCAAAACAAUUUCUAGCCAAAAAAGAAAUAACAAAAAAAUAAAAACAGAAAUAAAUAAAAAAGUACCCACACCUAUAUCAACAUUUGGAUCUGAGACAUGGACACUCACACAGAAACAAAAAAGCAAAAUACGAUGUACAGAAAUGAUAUUUCUAAAAAAAAACAGAGAAUAAAUCAAAAUCGACAAAAUAAGGAAUAACGCUAUAAGAGAAAAUUUGAAUUCAAAACCAAUUGAAAACAAAGUAGAAGGAUAAUUAAGUUAGUUUGGCUAUGUUAUGAGAAUGGGAGAACGAAAAGAAA